CCUACGGGAGGCAGCAGUGAGGAAUAUUGGUCAAUGGGCGCGAGCCUGAACCAGCCAAGUCGCGUGAGGGAGGACGGCCCUACGGGUUGUAAACCUCUUUUGCCGGGGAGCAACGGGCGUCACGUGUGGCGCCACUGAGAGUACCCGGAGAAAAAGCAUCGGCUAACUCCGUGCCAGCAGCCGCGGUAAUACGGAGGAUGCGAGCGUUAUCCGGAUUUAUUGGGUUUAAAGGGUGCGUAGGCGGUCCGGAAAGUCAGCGGUAAAAGCCCGGGGCUCAACCCCGGCGAGCCGUUGAAACUGUCGGA
rnacentral:rRNA from 1 species